rnacentral:rRNA from 1 species
UACGUAGGGCGCAAGCGUUGUCCGGAAUUAUUGGGCGUAAAGAGCUCGUAGGCGGCCUGUCACGUCGGGUGUGAAAGCCCGGGGCUUAACCCCGGGUCUGCAUUCGAUACGGGCUGGCUAGAGUGCGGUAGGGGAGAUCGGAAUUCCUGGUGUAGCGGUGAAAUGCGCAGAUAUCAGGAGGAACACCGGCGGCGAAGGCGGCUUUCUGGACCAUUACUGACGCUGAGGCGCGAAAGCGUGGGGAGCAAACAGG